rnacentral:rRNA from 1 species
UGGGGAAUAUUGGACAAUGGGCGCAAGCCUGAUCCAGCCAUGCCGCGUGAGUGAUGAAGGCCCUAGGGUUGUAAAGCUCUUUCACCGGUGAAGAUAAUGACGGUAACCGGAGAAGAAGCCCCGGCUAACUUCGUGCCAGCAGCCGCGGUAAUACGAAGGGGGCUAGCGUUGUUCGGAUUUACUGGGCGUAAAGCGCACGUAGGCGGACUUUUAAGUCAGGGGUGAAAUCCCGGGGCUCAACCCCGGAACUGUCUUUGAUACUGGGAGUCUUGGAUAUGGUAGAGGUGAGUGGAAUUCCGAGUGUAGAGGUGAAAUUCGUAGAUAUUCGGAGGAACACCAGUGGCGAAGGCGGCUCACUGGACCAUUACUGACGCUGAGGUGCGAAAGCGUGGGGAGCAAACAGG